rnacentral:lncRNA from 1 species
CAAACACACAAGCUUCCACUCAAUAUGUUUUUAGAUCAUAUUUUAGCAAAUCAAGUCCAUGGACUACUAUGGUAGAACGGAAGAUAUGGCAUCUGUGGGGCACAGCCUGAUCUGUCACAUCACACAAAGCAGGCUGAGAAGGCAGGUGAUAUCCAUGUAUAAUGAUCAUGUGGUGUGUAUAUAUAUAUAUAUAUAUAUAUAUAUAUAUAUAUGUUCAUAGAUAUGUCCCUUCUCUGUCUCUCCUCUCUGCCGUUGACCUCCUCCUGUCUGCUUCUCACACCCUUACUGCCUGCCUACCCCAUCAGACUCAUCCCUAAUCUUUAAUUGUUUAAAAAGGUCCCUCAAAACACAUCUGUUCAGAAAUGCUUUUAGACUCCCAGAGUAACUUAUCUAUACAGAAAUGUAACUAGAAAGCACAGGGCCCCGGUGCGAAAAUUGCCCUGCCCCCCCCCCCCAUAUGUCUACCCCCCACCACUUCCUCAUAAGUCUACCCUCCCUCUCAUUUUGCCGCCCCAGCAUUUCAUACUUGGAUCCAGGCAGCACAAUGUCUUGGGCCAGCCCUGUCCACCACUGUAUCUAUACUUAUCCAUAUCCGUCUCUUGCUCUCCUAAAGAGCCACACUCCACUCUCACCUCCAGUUCUGCUACUGUUCCACCUUGUUUGGUGGCUGUCACCCUUGCUGUCCUGUUAUGUUUUUUGUACCCCCCUUCUUGUUUAAACAGGGUCCUCAUCUACCUAUUAUUCCUGUGUCAUUGUGUAAUUAUCCCAUUUAUUGUAAAUCCCCUCUCCCCCACCAUUCAUAAUAUUGUAAAGCACUGUUGAAGUAGUUGAUGCUAUAUAAAUACCAAUAAUAGUAAUAAUACUAUGUAUAGGACUUGGACAUUUGUUACUGUAUAAACUGCAAUUCAGUCCAAAGUAGGGCUGUUUGGGUGAUCAGUCGAAUUACCAAACUCCAAGCCGAAAAGAAAUCUGAAUCACAAACCAAACGUAAAGUACAAUGGCGAAUCAAGUCCAUUUCAGUUUGUGAUUCUAAAUUAUGCUCAUGGCGCCAAAAAAGAGAUGGUUGAUAGGGAAAAAAAAUGAUGAUUGAUGACUGGGGGGAAUCACUAAAUGUUGAUUUUAUUCACAGAUCAAGUGAGGAGUGAGCAGUUGAGGGAUAAAAAGCAGGAACAAUAAGUAAAUGUAUAAUUGUGUAUUAUAAAUUUAAUAAAUACGUAAUACAGAUUUGUUUUAACUGCGCUCCUGUUUUUACCUCUGUUGGUUUCUUUUACUCACUUGAUCUGUGAAUCAAAUGGUGGGAAGAUGUUCCUAUCAUUGAAUUACAUAAAUAUAUACACAAUAUGUAUACAUUUAUCCAUAUAUGUAUAUUUUUGCAGUAUACUGAUUGGCCCAUUUGUGCACCUUUUUAGUUUGUCUGAUACGGUUCCCAAAUACGUUUUUCAAUACAAAACUUUCUUCCUGCCUAAACGAAAUCUGGACAAAAUUCAGGCAUCCCGCUAAAUUUUUUUUUUUUACAAAAACAGUUCGCUGAGCUGAAUGUUCUCGCAGAGCUAACAUGUAAACCAUUUCUAUAAACGUCUCACUGUACCUUCCAGAAAACAUCUUUCUAGACUAUGUAUUCAACUCUAUAGCAGAGGUGGUAUAAUACCACAAAUACCAUCCUGUAAAUGGGGUGUUGUAGAAUUAUUUUUUUUCAUGCAGUUGACAUAAAAAAUACUAUUUUAAUAAAAAUGGUGUAAAUGUCCUGCAGGUUUGUCUGAAGGAGACUGCAUAUCUUUAUAUUUGAAGAGCUGAAUUGGGACAAACAAAUGAAA